UCGAGAGGGAAACAGCCCAGAUCGCCGGUUAAGGCCCCUAAGGGUGUACUAAGUGGAAAAGGAUGUGGGAUCGCGAAGACAGCCAGGAGGUUGGCUUAGAAGCAGCCAUCCUUGAAAGAGUGCGUAAUAGCUCACUGGUCGAGUGGUUCUGCGCCGACAAUGUAGUGGGGCUCAAGUACACCGCCGAAGCCGCGGCAAACAUUUUUUGUUUGGGUAGGGGAGCGUCGUGCAUGGGUUGAAGCGUUACCGUAAGGAGGCGUGGACUGUGUGCGAGUGAGAAUGCAGGCAUGAGUAACGAAUUGAUAGGUGAGAAUCCUAUCCGCCGGAUGACUAAGGGUUCCUGGGUCAAGUUCGUCUUCCCAGGGUGAGUCGGGACCUAAGGCGAGGCCGACAGGCGUAGUCGAUGGAUAACCAGUUGAUAUUCUGGUACCCGUACAUGCGCGCCCAUGAUAAAGCACUGAUACUAACCACCGCGGAUGCACUGUUGACACUCUUUGAGUGUUGGUGGUGUUGAUGUCGUGGGGCCUGAUGUGUGGUUCAAGUGAUGGGGUGACGCAGUGAGGUAGCCACGCCACUUAUUGGAUUGGUGGUGUAAGCGUGUAGGCCGUGUGGUAGGUAAAUCCGCUACACAUUGUGGUUGAGACGUGAUGCGUAGACCCAUUGGGGUUGAUGGUGGUGAUCCUGUACUGUCGAGAAAAGCCUCUAGCGAUGUGUGUGUAUGGCCCGUACCCUAAACCGACACAGGUAGUCAGGUUGAAAAUACUAAGGCGUUCGGGUGAACUGUGGUUAAGGAAUUCGGCAAAAUGCCCCCGUAACUUCGGGAGAAGGGGGGCCUCACGACGUGAGCACUCUUUGCGGUGUUAAGCGUUGUGGGGUCGCAGAGAAUAGAGGGAAGCGACUGUUUAUCAAAAACACAGGUCCAUGCGAAGACGUUAAGUUGAUGUAUAUGGACUGACGCCUGCCCGGUGCUGGAAGGUUAAGAGGACCGGUUAGUAGUCUUUGACUGCGAAGCUGAGAAUUUAAGCCCCAGUAAACGGCGGUGGUAACUAUAACCAUCCUAAGGUAGCGAAAUUCCUUGUCGGGUAAGUUCCGACCUGCACGAAUGGCGUAACGACUUCUCUGCUGUCUCAACCACAGGCCCGGUGAAAUUGCACUACGAGUAAAGAUGCUCGUUACGCGCGGCAGGACGAAAAGACCCCGGGACCUUCACUAUAGCUUGGUAUUGGUGUUUGGUUCGGUUUGUGUAGGAUAGGUGGGAGACUUGGAAGCUAUCACGCUAGUGGUGGUGGAGUCGUUGUUGAAAUACCACUCUGAUCGGAUUGAGCAUCUAACCUUGGCCCAUGAUCUGGGUUGGGGACAGUGCCUGGUGGGUAGUUUAACUGGGGCGGUUGCCUCCCAAAAUGUAACGGAGGCGCCCAAAGGUUCCCUCAGCCUGGUUGGCAAUCAGGUGGUGAGUGUAAGUGCACAAGGGAGCUUGACUGUGAGACAGACAUGUCGAGCAGGGACGAAAGUCGGGACUAGUGAUCCGGCACCUACUUGUGGAUGUGGUGUCGCUCAACGGAUAAAAGGUACCCCGGGGAUAACAGGCUGAUCUUCCCCAAGAGUCCAUAUCGACGGGAUGGUUUGGCACCUCGAUGUCGGCUCGUCGCAUCCUGGGGCUGGAGUAGGUCCCAAGGGUUGGGCUGUUCGCCCAUUAAUGCGGUACGUGAGCUGGGUUCAGAACGUCGUGAGACAGUUCGGUCCCUAUCCGUCGUGGGCGUAGGAAAUUUGAGAGGAGCUGUCCUUAGUACGAGAGGACCGGGAUGGACAUACCUCUGGUGUACCAGUUGUCGUGCCAACGGCAUAGCUGGGUAGCUAUGUAUGGACGGGAUAAGUGCUGAAAGCAUCUAAGCAUGAAGCCCCCCUCAAGAUGAGAUUUCCCAACUUCGGUUAUAAGAUCCCUCAAAGAUGAUGAGGUUAAUAGGUUCGAGGUGGAAGCGUGGUGACACGUGGAGCUGACGAAUACUAAUCGAUCGAAG
rnacentral:rRNA from 1 species